AGGAUAAACGCUGGCGGCGUGCCUAACACAUGCAAGUCGAACGCCCUUGAGCAAUCAAGGGAGUGGCGGACGGGUGAGUAACACGUGGGUACCUACCCCAAGGUGAGGAAUACCGGCGAGAAAUCGCCGACAAUACCGCAUACGUUCGCAAGAAACAAAGCUCGCAAGGGCGCCAUGGGAAGGGCCUGCGGCCGAUUAGCUGGUUGGUGAGGUAAAAGCUUACCAAGGCGACGAUCGGUAGCUGGUCUGAGAGGACGAUCAGCCACACUGGGAUUGAGAACGGCCCAGACUCCUACGGGGGGCAGCAGUGAGGAAUUUCGUCAAUGGGGGCAACCCUGAACGAGCAACGCCGCGUGCAGGAAGAAGGUUUUCGGAUCGUAAACUGCUUUUCUCUGGGACGAGAACGGACGGUACCAGAGGAAUCGAGCCCCGGCUAACUACGUGCCAGCAGCCGC
rnacentral:rRNA from 1 species